GGUUUGUGGCUCAGUGGUAGAGCGCUUGUCUCACACACGUGAAGCCCUGGGUUUGAGCCUCAGCACCA
rnacentral:tRNA from 1 species